AAUUUUGCGCAAUGGGCGAAAGCCUGACGCAGCAACGCCGCGUGAAUGUUAAGCCCUUCGGGGUGUAAAGUUCUGUCAGUGGGGACGAAACUUGACGGUACCCACAGAGGAAGCACCGGCUAACUCCGUGCCAGCAGCCGCGGUAAUACGGAGGGUGCAAGCGUUGUCCGGAAUCAUUGGGCGUAAAGAGUUCGUAGGUGGCAUGUUAAGUCUGGUGUUAAAGCCCGAAGCUCAACUUCGGUUCGGCACUGGAUACUGGCAAGCUUGAAUGUGGUAGAGGUAAAGGGAAUUCCUGGUGUAGCGGUGAAAUGCGUAGAUAUCAGGAGGAACAUCGGUGGCGAAAGCGCUUUGCCGGGCCAUUAUUGACACUGAGGAACGAAAGCCGGGGUAGCAAAUGGG
rnacentral:rRNA from 1 species